rnacentral:rRNA from 1 species
ACGAACGCUGGCGGCGUGCUUCAUACAUGCAAGUCGAGCGGAAAGGCCCUUCGGGGUACUCGAGCGGCGAACGGGUGAGUAACACGUGAGCAACCUGCCCUUGGCUCUGGGAUAACUCCUCGAAAGAGGUGCUAAUACCGGAUACGACUUCCUUCGACAUCGUCGGAAGUGGAAAGUUUUUUCGGCCAAGGAUGGGCUCGCGGCCUAUCAGCUUGUUGGUGAGGGUAACGGCCCACCAAGGCUCGACGGGUAGCCGGCCUGAGAGGGCGACCGGCCACACUGGGACUGAGACACGGCCCAGACUCCGUACGGGGGGCUGCAGUAACGAAUCUUCCGCAAUGUACGCAAGUAUGACGGAGCGACGCCGCGUGUAGGAUGAACG